GAGUUUGAUCCUGGCUCAGAUUGAACGCUGGCGGCAGGCCUAACACAUGCAAGUCGAGCGGCAGCGGGAAGAUAGCUUGCUAUCUUCGCCGGCGAGCGGCGGACGGGUGAGUAAUACCUGGGGAUCUGCCCAGUCGAGGGGGAUAACAGUUGGAAACGACUGCUAAUACCGCAUACGCCCUACGGGGGAAAGGAGGGGACCUUCGGGCCUUCCGCGAUUGGAUGAACCCAGGCGGGAUUAGCUAGUAGGUGAGGUAAUGGCUCACCUAGGCGACGAUCCCUAGCUGUUCUGAGAGGAUGGACAGCCACACUGGAACUGAGACACGGUCCAGACUCCUACGGGAGGCAGCAGUGGGGAAUAUUGGACAAUGGGGGAAACCCUGAUCCAGCCAUGCCGCGUGUGUGAAGAAGGCCUUCGGGUUGUAAAGCACUUUCAGUGGGGAGGAAAGGUUGAUGGUUAAUACCUAUCAGCUGUGACGUUACCCACAGAAGAAGCACCGGCUAACUCCGUGCCAGCAGCCGCGGUAAUACGGAGGGUGCAAGCGUUAAUCGGAAUUACUGGGCGUAAAGCGUGCGCAGGCGGUCUGUUAAGCGAGAUGUGAAAGCCCCGGGCUCAACCUGGGAACUGCAUUUCGAACUGGCAGACUAGAGUCUUGUAGAGGGGGGUAGAAUUCCAGGUGUAGCGGUGAAAUGCGUAGAGAUCUGGAGGAAUACCGGUGGCGAAGGCGGCCCCCUGGACAAAGACUGACGCUCAGGCACGAAAGCGUGGGGAGCAAACAGGAUUAGAUACCCU
rnacentral:rRNA from 1 species